CUGAGUCUGCGCGGAUCCCCCUUUUUGCCCCUGCCCUUCUCUCCAGCGGCAGGACGGUACGAACGGGGGAGGGUCACAUUCCUCAGCUUGUCCCUCCCUCCACCCUGUUACCAGGAGGGUAAAGAGUGGAGCAAAGUUACUUGAAUGAAAAUUGUUGGUCUAAGUGGUAUUUACAUACAACAUUUCUGAUACAUCUGAAAUGGAAGUAAACAAGCCUUGUCUGAAAAAUCCACCUUCAUCAUUAUACCAUUCUACCUUGAGAUGACCUUAUUACAAUUUGUUAAAGCUGUACCAGGGAAGAAGUUGUGUUGCAUCAAGAUACUGAGAAGUUGGUAAGGAGCCACAACAACACUGUUAAACCUGCGUCUCCCCCAGUCCCUACUGUAAGGAAGGAGGACUCAAAGAGGAAUGAAAAGUACAUAAAUUGCAUUUAACAGAAGUAUCAUAAGCACAAGAUAGCCUAUGAUUCAUUAGCUGUAUUAUUAUGUCCAAUUCUGGUCUCACCAGUUCAAGAAAGACUGGAAAUUUCUAGAGUGAGCCAAGCAAAUGGCUACAGAGAUCAUUACAGGCCUGGAGCAUCUCCCUUAUGAGGAAAGGAUGAGAGACUUGGGACUGUUCAGCAUGGAGAAGACUGAGAGAAGAUCUUAUCAUAUUUAUAAACUAAUGGGUGGGUGUCAAGAGGAUGGAGCCCAUCCCCAGAGAUAGGACAAAAGACAAC
ensembl:lncRNA